rnacentral:lncRNA from 1 species
GUAAGUCUGGGGCGACGGGACCCACCGUAUCAGCACCUCCCAGGCCUUUAGUAGCUCAUUAAUACUAAUUAGAUGCGGGAGCGCUCAGCCCUGCCGGCAGCCGCAUCCCGGGCACACAUCCUGGGACUCCGAGCACACAAAAGCUUUGGACGCGGAUCCCAAGAGCGGAGCAUCCCGCACCUCGGGAGAGGGGAAGGCGUGGCGCGGGCAGAGCAGAAUAAGAGGAUUUACACAGCAAGUUGUGGCUGAAGAAGAGCAACUUCAUUUAGAAAGAAAGGACCAUAACUCUCUGCACUCUGCAGCUUGACAGGUCCCGAGCCUUUGCUGAAACAUGAAGGUUUCUCCUAGGAGUUCCCAAAAACUCCUCUUGGGAGCUGAGGACUUGCAAAGUGGCAGUGAGUUUCCAAUCCCCUUCUUGCCACCAGCCUCCCAGAGACAUCCCCAUCCCUCACACGAGCCCGGGCUCUUUCCCUGCUGCAGGAAACUUGCACAAGCGGACACAGGAGGAAAGGGGGAUGAAGCUGCUUUGAGAAGCACGAGAGGAGCUGGUGUGUUGUGAGGGAAGGAUGUGGCUGCUAAGCUUCUGCCAAAAGUGGAGUUUAAAAAAAGCUGCCGCACAAUCCUGGGACGACGUUUACGCAGGAGCGGCGCAGGACAGCAGCAACUGGUUCCCAUCAAGCGGGGACUGGUUGUAUCUGCAAGUAUGAUCAAGCCAUCCUAACUGCAAGGUCUGGAAGGACUGGCUAGUGUGGUUUCUGAAAUUCACAUGGCAGCAGAAGACAAAAUCCAUUCUCCAGCCUUUAUUCGUGGGGUUUGGGACAACGUAAACAGUAAUAAAGAGCAGGGAUGACUAAAAUAGGAAGGCUGG